rnacentral:rRNA from 1 species
AUUGAACGCUGGCGGCGGGCCUAACACAUGCAAGUCGAGCGGAUGACGGGAGCUUGCUCCUUGAUUCAGCGGCGGACGGGUGAGUAAUGCCUAGGAAUCUGCCUGGUAGUGGGGGACAACGUUUCGAAAGGAACGCUAAUACCGCAUACGUCCUACGGGAGAAAGCAGGGGACCUCCGGGCCUUGCGCUAUCAGAUGAGCCUAGGUCGGAUUAGCUAGUUGGUGGGGUAAUGGCUCACCAAGGCGACGAUCCGUAACUGGUCUGAGAGGAUGAUCAGUCACACUGGAACUGAGACACGGUCCAGACUCCUACGGGAGGCAGCAGUGGGGAAUAUUGGACAAUGGGCGAAAGCCUGAUCCAGCCAUGCCGCGUGUGUGAAGAAGGUCUUCGGAUUGUAAAGCACUUUAAGUUGGGAGGAAGGGCAGUAAGCUAAUACCUUGCUGUUUUGACGUUACCGACAGAAUAAGCACCGGCUAACUCUGUGCCAGCAGCCGCAGUAACAC